rnacentral:rRNA from 1 species
GACGAACGCUGGCGGCGUGCUUAACACAUGCAAGUCGAACGAUGAAGCCGGAGCUUGCUCUGGUGAAUUAGUGGCGAACGGGUGAGUAACACGUGAGUAACCUGCCCUUGACUCUGGGAUAACUGCUAGAAAUGGUAGCUAAUACCGGAUACGACCCUCGGAGGCAUCUCCAGGGGGUGGAAAGAAUUUCGGUCAAGGAUAGACUCGCGGCCUAUCAGCUAGUUGGUGAGGUAAAGGCUCACCAAGGCGACGACGGGUAGCCGGCCUGAGAGGGUGACCGGCCACACUGGGACUGAGACACGGCCCAGACGCCUACGGGAGGCAGCAGUAGGGAAUAUUGCACAAUGGGCGCAAGCCUGAUGCAGCAACGCCGCGUGAGGGAUGACGGCCUGCGGGUUGUAAACCUCUUUUAGCAGGGAAGAAGCGAAAGUGACGGUACCUGCAGAAAAAGCACCGGCUAACUACGUGCCAGCCGCCGCAGUAA